UUUCCUUCAGAUUUCCUCUAUCUGCCAAUCAAUCAGUCCCCCUGUCCCAGUCCCUCAGUCCUCAGGAGCAUCUCGCUCAUCUGAGAUGUGAACUGAGUUUCACAAAUGAGCACGAAUUUACAAUUUACAAAGGAACUUUUUAAUAUCCCACUUUGUAUGUCAUCAAGUUGUCCAACCACCUGUGGAUAACUGAAUCUCAUCAUGGCAGAUAAGCAUCACCUUCCAUAUCAUCCCCAUCAGUACUAUGAAGGAAGGAGGCUGCCACCCUCUCUCUAUUCAAGCUACGUCACUGGGAAAGGGUGAGCUGCUCCAUCUCCCUAUAAAGCAGCCAUUGCUAAAGCAGAAUCUUCACUAUUUCAACCAAACACAAGGGUGACUGAUGGAAGGGAUUAAGGUGUAAAGGAAAGAGUUAUCCAGGCCCUCAGCAAUGGGAGUAUUGUGAAGGUUUGGGAUAACAAGACAAUUACUCAGCAAACGAAAUGCCUCUAAUGGGGCAGGCACUCUGCUCUGCACUGAGAAUGUAGAAGCAAAAAGGUACCAUGCAAUCCUUGUCCCCAGGAGCCAGAGCCCAGUGGGGUGAUAAAUCAAUGCCAGUUGGUACCAAUGGAGCUGGCCACAGGGAGCCGAAAGGAUGCCUGGUUAUGUGUGUCCUCUGUCUCUCCAUAUGUUGGCCUUAGCAGAGCUGGGAGGGCUUAUUCUGGGAGCUUGGCUGCAAAGGGCAGUGAGGGGCAUAGCUAGAGUGGGGUGUGUUAGGGCAGAGGGCAGGUGGAGGGUGAAAGGGCAGGCAGGCCAGUUUCUGGCGCUCCUUACUUUUUUGGAACGCUUAGCCCUGUCGAUUCCCAGGAAGGCUUUGGUUCUUGUUCAAAGCAGCUUCAGUUUCUCCCUGACUAGGAGAGUCCCAGGCCCUCUGAAGUGCAUUGCUAUGAGACCAUCCCCAGACCUUGGAAUGCAGUUAACUCCCAGGACACAACAGUGUAGGCUGGGGCUGUUGUAAUGAAUGGUCAUUUAGCACCAGAACUGGGGCUUCUCGAGGAUUCUAAAAGCCCUGAGAACACAGAGGUCUGAGGUUCCCAAGCCAGGUUUUUAAAAAAGAAUGGUGACCUCUUUAGGGAAUCGCUGCCUCUUUGAUAGGGAGGGGAGCACCCUGCUUCCUGGGUUCAGGGGUGUCUUCACUGCUUUGAAUUUUGUGACUCUGAAUUUCAAAGCAGCAAAGAACUUUACCCUAUGAAUGCUUGGCUGGACCGCAGAGUAGGGUCAAGGCCCCUUUGGGGGGGGUACAAACAGGCUCUGAUGGUGCCAGCUGAUAUGCAGGAGAUGGAAAAACUUUGCUCAGUUGGGCCGGAGGACGCUGUAAGUCCAGGGAGGGGCUGUUGCCACCAACUUUCCCCCUGCCCUGGCAGCCCUGGCCUCACCCCCACCCGAUACAUGAGUCAUCAAUGGGAAAAUGAGACAGGGCAAGUCUCAGCCGAGCAAAUGGGAGUCCACCUCGGUGGGGUGGGGUGGGGAGGCCAAGGGAAGAAGGGACGGGCUUGGUCUGGUCAGGGUGAGCUGGGGUUGGGAGCUGAGGCUUUGGCAAGAGUGAGCCUGUUGCAAGGCUGAGAAUGGAGCUGAAUGUGAAGAGCUAGAUGAGAGUCCGCGAGCUGGGAUUGCAGCAGGAAGGAGUCAGAACAGAUGUACAGGGCAGGGUGGACUGUCACCUGGAAAUCUAGGGCAGAUGUGCAGGCAUUGUGGCAGCUGCCCCACUGGGGCCAUGAACCAAGGACCCUGGCAAGACUGUGCCUGGCUGGGUGCCAAGCUGCCUGCAGCUGCAUACGGAACCCUGGCUCAAUAUCCUCGAGCCUCCUGCUCCAGUCUGCCUUCCACAGUCCAACCAACGUGAUCCAUGCAGGAUGAAGUUCACGCUCCGCUAAAAUUGCCAGUGGUUUCCUCCCUGCAAUGCCGGAAGGCCAAACUCCCCAACAGUGCCUGCUUUCUCUCUGGGUGUUUCUCUCUACACUCUCCACGCUCUGAUCUCCUGCCUGCAACUGUCCCCAUCCCAGAAACAGUGAAGGCUGCCUCACACUGCCAGGCGGGCACCCCGCACUCUUCCUACACAUUUUCUUAUUGGUAGCUUGGCGUUCUCUCAUGCCAGUGCCUCUGAAAAGCCUUCCAUGACUGCCCUGUCUACAGGCCAGCUGGAGCCCCUGCUGCCUCCUAUGUGUGGCUCUUCCUCCUCUAUCAAUUACGCUGCAUCGCAGUCACUCGUUUACAUGUCUGCCUGUGCCACUAGACUGCUCUGUUCUUAGGUUUGUUAUGUGUGUAUUCUGGUGCCUGAGAGUAUCUGGCACACAGUAGAAUCUUAAUCAUAAUAAUGGCAAACACUGUAUGUUGAUUCUGUGCUAGGCAUUGAUCCAAGAGCUGUACAAGUAUGUGUACAAUGUUAAAUCACUUAGCACUCCAACACUCUGUGCCGUAGUUGCCAUUACUAAAGCUCCAUGCUUUACCUUAAGAAACUGAGACCCAAAGAAGGGAAAUGGCUGUGGGCUAGGGAGGGGGAUUCUCUUGUUUUAACACUGAAAUUUCCACAUCCUGCAAAGCCCUCAAUCCUGGACAAACUGGAAUGUUAGUCACCAACUCCUCUUCUGCCCCAGCACUAAGUCCUGUUGAGGGGGUCAUGGCAGAGUCCAAGACUAUGGGCUAUAGGGUAUGGCCCAGAGCAUCAGCCAGCCCUGACCCAGGCACCAUCAGUGUCUCCUGCCAUCUUAGAGGAGGGACCGAGGUCCCGGCUGCAGGGAAGAAAGCCAGCUGGGUGUCUCUCUGGGGCUUUCUAAUCAGCUUGGGGGCUUCUCCUGAGCUCCAUUUACAUUUCAGAGUCCAGCUUAACCCUAGUCCUUGUUUACCACCUGCCCAGAUCCUGCCCAGAUCUGGCCUCAAGGAGUCCUCAAGUUCACUGAGACAGAGGGCAGCAAGGGAAAGAUACAGGCAGAACACUGAAGGGCUGUCAGGGGCAUGCAGGGUACAUUUAUUUAAGGGGGUCUCUGAGGGGAGGAGAGGAUGCUGGUUGUGGUGGUGGUGGGAGGACAUUCCAGGUGGAAGAAAUCUCCUGAACAAAGGUGACAGGACCGGAAAAGCUGAGGUGACUCAAACAGGGAACUUAAAGAGGUCUUCAUAGAUCCAGGAGCAUCACAGCUGAGCUUAGAGGAGAUGGCCUGGCGCACACUGAGUGCUGGCCCGGGGCUGGGCUUCUCUCUACAAGAGGGGAGCCAUUGCAAAGCUCUGCUGCAAACACACACACACACAUACACACACACACACACACCCCUUUAUUUUUAUCAUAUUUAUUGAAGAAAAGUGUGAAAGUUAAGAAAAUUAUAAAGAAGACAGCAAAUGUACUUGCAUAUUCUUAUAUCUUGGGGUUCAUCUUUGCAUUUCCAUCUGCUAUACUUCUUUCUUUCUUGCAGUGCUGGGGAUCCAAACCAGGGCUUCGUGUGUGCUAGUCAAGAACUCUACCACUGAGCUACAUUCCCCAGCUCCUCUC
rnacentral:lncRNA from 1 species